rnacentral:rRNA from 1 species
AAACGUAGGUGGCAAGCGUUAUCCGGAUUCACUGGGCGUAAAGCGCCUGCAGGCGGUCCUGUAAGUGGGACGUGAAAUCUCUCGGCUCAACUGGGAGAGGUCGUUCCAUACUGCGGGACUGGAGGGCAGAAGAGGGAAGCGGAAUUCCCGGUGUAGUGGUGAAAUGCGUAGAUAUCGGGAGGAACACCAGUGGCGAAGGCGGCUUCCUGGCCUGUUCCUGACGCUAAGAAGCGAAAGCUAGGGGAGCGAACGGGAUUAGAAACCCCGGUAGUCCUAGCCGUAAACGAUGGAUACUAGGUGUCGGUGGUCCUAACCCCAUCGGUGCCGAAGCUAACGCGUUAAGUAUCCCGCCUGGGGACUACGGCCGCAAGGUUAAA